AGACUAUCCACGUGUCAACCGUGUGGGUCUCACCUCUAUUUACGUUUUUUUUUUAAAUAAAACCGUGUGUUUGAAAGGCUUAAAGAGUGUUGUUUUUUUUUAACAAAACUGUGUGUUGGUCGAAGCCUUAAAGACUGUUGGGCUUAUUUGGUAUUUGGCCCAUAGAUAUUGGGUGAGGUUCUUCUAGGUUAACGCAUUAGGGGAGGCGUCGAUUGAUUUAAGAAAAAAACCUAGCCGUCGACUUCUUCGAGCCGAAAGUCCGGGACGAUUCCUCUUCCGGCGUCUAAUUUCUGUAACCUGCCCUUAAUGGCUCUGCUAAGCGCGUCCUCUGACGAACGAAACGCAUUCUCUUCAUCUAACGCUUCCUGAUUUCUCCUUAUAUAGAGUUGCUCGAGCAGCUCCAGUCGCUAACGCCGCCGUCGCCUACUCCACGUUCGAAUCUCUUCGCCUCGGAAGAGCCGCUCAGUCCGUUGUUGCUCGCCUAAUCCGCUUUUGGGAUUCCCGUAACAUCAACAAGAAUGGAGAGUUUAUGGGCAUAACGAUUCUCCUCCUCGAUGAAUUGGAUUCUGUUAUUCACGGGUUCAUACCCGCUAACCGAGCCAGCCACUACCGGAACGAUUUGAAAACCGGUUCUAUUGUCAGAUUGGACCGUUUUGAAGUUGCGCGUGUGGCUCACAUGUACAAGAUCACAGAACAUCAGUUCUUGAUCCGUUUCAUUGCUUCAACGCUCCAAACGGAUGCUCCUGUGAUCAAGUUCGACAUGUUCAUGGUGAGGCAUUACGAUCACCUUCAAGUGCUUGCAAACACCAACCUUGAGCUUCCAGAUGUGGUGGGUUAAAUACAGUCCAUGCAGGGAUCCGACCUCAAGAACAAUGCAGCCACGAGCAGGGUGGUGGUCCGCUUCUUAAUCGAACGGAAUGUAUCUGUCUGCUUGUCGUUGUGGAAUGAGGCUGCAUCAACCAAAGGGCCUCAAAAAUUUUAGACAUGAGCAGAGAUGGGGAAGAGAGUAGAACGAUAUCUAACAUAGUCUACAGAGAAGCCUACAACGGAUUGCCUCAAUCUACCGAGCUAACAGAUGACGCCGAAGAAACCACCGAAGCUGAGUGACUACCCCGACGUCAGAGGAAGUGCAGGAAUCCUCGCUCUCUGCUUCGUCUGAUCCGCACGAUCGUUGCUGUUCUUACGAGUCUCCACUCAUGUCUCGCGAGAUUGAAAGCCUGAUUUUGUUACCCACGACAGAUUGAAGGCCGGAUAUUUUGAGGAAAAAACGUUUUUCUAUUUUAAUUUUAAUCCGGUUUCAACUUGAUCAAUAGUGUCGGCAGAAAACAAUUCCUUUUUCUUCUUUUUUGUUUACUUAUUUCCAUACUUUUUUUUUCAACUUUCCAAUUCAAUUUUAUCAUGGCCCAGUAAAACCUUUUAAAACAAAUUAUGAAACAAUAUUUAUUCUUUUUUUUUGGUCAAAAAACAAUAUUUAUUCUAUACUACAAAAAAAAAUAUAUUCCCUAAAAAUGAUUAGCUGAUGUCAACAGUUUCAUCUACGCUUAUGCUCACACACUGAUUAAAAAGCUAACCAAGCAAGAAUUCACAUGCAACUGUAGAUUAAAUAAAAAUUUGCGGUUUUUCCAGUAUCAGACCGAAAUUACACUCAAAGCCCACCACACAUCAAUACCAAAUAUUAUAAAACCCACAAUUAUAUAUUCAUUAUAUUGAAAUAUUAAGCUACACAGUUCAUAUUUUAUGUUAAACCAUUUAAAUUUUUAAUAAGCCAACACAAUUUCUUCCACGAAUCCAGUAAUUCAUAGAAUAGAUAGUUAUAUAACUAUAUAAUUAGAUAAAUUUAAAAAGAAAGACAAAAAAAUUUAACAAAUAUGAGAAUUUCUUAUUUUUUUCCAUUGAUCAAUCGCUUCAUACAAAUAUAAAUUGCACAGAGUGUCAGGUAAGUAGUUUAUGAGUCAAUCUGAUAUGCUAUUAGUAAAAAAAGGUUAUCAGACAAUAUUAAACUAAAAUAUUCUCCCUUCAGAAAAAAACAGAUUAACACAUAUCCUUUCUGGGUCAUGUAUACGGAAAAAAUCCACUAUAAAUUGCAUAAUUCUUAAUACCAAAAUUUAUAUUAUUUCCCUUACACAAUUUAACAGAAAUAUACUAACAACUAACUCAUUUCACCCUACCAAACCCAUGGCACAAUCUUUUGAAAAUGAAAAUGCUAAUAAUACUAAUCAUAAAUAAAUUCAUAACAAAAAGAUAGAAAAAAUAUCAACAUAUAUGAAUUCAACACUCAUUCUUAUAUCAAUCUACUGAAAUUGUGUAACAUCCAAUGUCUCGUUCAUCACCACUAAGUUAAGCCAAAAAUACAAAUGUUUGAAAAGCAAACAACAACAUCCCCUACACCAAACUACACAACGCAUUAACCAUUUACGCACCCGACAAUAUCCCGUACACAAAACUACUUAACACCAUAACAAUGUACCCGGCCCCGCGCUUGCGCGGGGGCUACGCCACUAGUUUAAUAUAGGAUUGGAGUGAGCCAUAACUUUAUACUUAGAUGAUAACCUACGUGUAUGCGCGGAGCGAAUUUUUUAUACUAAUGUUUGUUCAUUAAAUGAUUUUAACAUUUUGUAACACUACAAUAUUUAUAGAUUGUAAAUGACGAAUACAAAUGUUGGUCUCUUAAAUGUAUCAUCGUUGUUGAAGAGUAAACGUAUUACAAUUAAUUUUAUUUAUUUAUAAAACUUUAUGUGCACAAAAACAAUUAAGUUUUACGGCCGACACAAAUCACAAAAGUUAGAUAGGCAACAUCAGUUGUAAAAUGACAAAAGGGAAUUAGGUUUUCUGCUCUCAAUUUAUAUACUAUUGACUCUCCAUAAAUAAUUUCAUUUUUUACUUCUAUAGAAUUGUACUUUCGUUCUUGUUUAUGUUUCACUGAUACGAGUUUUGUUCCUUUUUAACUUCUUCUGUGAAUUCGGUGAAUUACAUAAGAGUGAAUUUAAAAAGAUGCACAUCUGUAAGAAUUAGUUCCACUCUAGAUACAUAUCUAAGAAUCAAAAUUUUGAAGAAAAUCACCGGCAAACUCUAUUCACAUGUUAGUGUUCAAAUCUAAUAUAUCAAGCUGUUAUAAAAUAUAAGUGCAUAGUCGAAAUAUAAAGGCAUGUCUAGUAUAUAUUCACCAGUUCGGUUUAAAAAUCAUCUAAUUCUAGAACAACAAAAUAAAUUACUUAUUUUAUUAACCUAUGCCUUUGAGGUUUAGUUACUUAAGAGUAGAACUUAUGAGUGAGACAGUAGUAGAGAAAGAUGAAGUAGAGAACUGAUUUCUUACUUUCUUACAUUACAUAACACUGGCCAUUACAUAUUUAUACAGAGAACAGAACACUCUAGAUCUUUCUCCAUUUAGCCUAUACUUUUUGACUUCUUACAAAGACUUAUUGACUCAAAGACUUUUACAAAGACUUUAGCUUACCAAAAGAACAGUUACCUUGAUAGACUAUAGCCAGAAUAAUCAGCCAGAAAAUCCUAUAGCCAAAAAGCUUGAUAGACUACUUGUCAAUAGCAACAUCAUCUCAGCUUUUCCCCACUGCCUAGCCACAUUCCUUCCCCCCCCUCAUCUCAGACCACUCCCCAUGCGUCCUAGACCUAGCCUAUCAACUCCCUAAAGCUGGAACCAAACCAUAUAAAUUCCAAAAUUACCUUACUAAACACCCAAGUUUCGCUCAGGUGGUUUAUGAGGGCUGGUUGCGUGCUGGAAGUGCGAGUCAAAGUCUUGGCCAUCUCUGUUGGAAACUGAAAAUGAUAAAGAGUGACUUGAAACAACUAAAUAGAGAGAAUUUUUCGAAAAUUCAAGAGAGAGUUUCUGAAACUUACAAUUUGCUGCAACAUGUGCAGGUUCAAGCGCUUGCAAAUCCGACCCCAGCUACUUUCCAGGCAGAGAGGGACUUGCAUCAAAAAUGGCUAUUCUUGCGUGACAUUGAAGAGAGUUUCUUUCGGCAGAAGUCAUAGAUCAAUUGGCUUACUGAAGGGGACCUGAACACCACCUUCUUUCAUCGCAUGUGUCAAGUUUGAGCAAACUAUAACGCCAUCAGAUGCUUCAUGACAAAUGCUGGUGACUGGAUAACUGACCCUCUUGCAAUGAGUGUACAUGCUGUUUCUCACUUCCAGUCUGUCCUUGGCCCCUCCACAUACUGCUUGCCCCAGCUUUUCUCACCCACUAGUUGGUUCACAGAGACCUGCGCCUAUCGCUGCCCUGAUCAGAUAGCACAUAAGAUGAUCGAACUGCCCACUCCUGAAGAGAUCAAAAGGACCAUAUUCAAACUAAACCAAAAUAAGGCCCCAGGGCCUGAUGGACUUACCUCAGGGUUUUUCAAAGCUUUGUGGAGUGUCAGUGGUGAUAAAGUGGUGAAAUCUAUCUCUCAUUUCUUCACUAGUGCUUUCCUCCCGACUUCCCUCAAUGCUACGAUUUUGUCACUGGUUCCUAAAUUCCCUGGUGCUACAAAAAUAUCUCAGUUCCGACCUAUUUCUUGUCCCAAUACCGUCUACAAAGCAAUCUCUCGUAUGCUGGUUAAACGUCUGAAGCUUUGUUUGCCUGAUCUGAUAUUGCCAAGUCAAACCGCGUUUGUAAAGAAUCGUUUAUUAUUGGAAAACACAAUACUGGCCAGUGAGUUGAUAAACGGUUACCACAAGAAUAAGGGUCCCAAGAAGAUUACCAUUAAAGUUGAUAUAGCGAAGGCUUUUGACACCCUAUCUUGGGAGUUUCUGUUCGCAGCUCUUCAUGCCCUUGAUCUCCCUCAUUAGCUUCUGGCUUGGCUAAAGGCGUGUAUCUGCACUACGAGCUUUAUGGUAGGUUAUAACGGCACAGUAAACGGCUAUUUCCAAGGUAAAAGAGGAUUGAGGCAAGGGGAUGCUUUGUCACCUUACCUGUUUGUAAUCGCGAUGAACUAUCUCUCCCACCUCCUAAACAAAGCAGCAGCGGAAAACAAACUCAAGUACCAUGCCCAGUGCAAAUCCACAAAGCUGACUCACCUCUCCUUUGCAGAUGAUUUGCUGAUCUUUAUAGACGGUUCCCUUGGAUCGGUACAGCAGGUGCUAGCGGUUCUCCGAGACUUUGAGCUACGAUCUGGACUGAAAGUGAGCAUGGAAAAAACUAGUUUUUUUUGCAUCAGGAUUGCCAGAAGAGGAGCUUCAAACAAUACAAGCGAGUACGGGAAUGCAGAUGGGUACCCUUCCUGUAAGAUACCUAGGCGUGCCGCUUAACUCAAGGAAAAUGAAUCUUGCAAACUGUGAGCCACUCCUGCAGCAAAUAAAGGCACGGUUCUCCUCAUUGUCAGUUAAAUCACUUUCCUUUGCAGGGAGACUGUUGCUAAUAAAAACGGUGAUCACGGGUAUUACCAUAUUCUGGUGCUCGUUUUUUAUACUUCCAAAGGCUUGUGUGGAUAAGAUAAAUUCGAUGUGUUUUUCUUUGGAAAGGGGAUGUUGACAGCAGGAACUCAGCCAGAGUGGCGUGGGACGUAGUGGUUAGGACUAAAAGCCAAGGAGGGUUAGGGGUAAAGAACCUACAAGUGUGGAAUAGGGCAUGCUGUCUGAGGUUGAUCUGGUUAAUUUUCUUCAGGAGUGUCUCUGUUUGGGUGGCCUGGUUCAAAGAAGUAGUGCUCAAAGGUUCGCUCUGUAACUACUGGACAAUGAAGCCAAGCCCAUCCUUCUCGUGGCUGGCAAAUAAACUCAUCAAGAUGCGGCACAUUGUCUUCCCCCUGAUAAAAAUGAGAGUUCAGAAUGGUCUCUAGACAAGAUUUUGGUCUGACAACUGGACUCCGUUUGGCAGUCUAGAUGUCUUUCUCAAUAGCUCUCUGUCUCGUUUGGGAAUCCCGAUCAGAGCAACGGUGGCCUCUAUCUGUAGGAAUGGGAAUUGGCGACUUCCUCCUACAAGAUCAGAACAACAACUUCAAUUACAAAGUUUUCUAACUACGGUAGAGUUAAAUGAGGAAGAUGAUCACUAUGAAUGGGAAAUAAAUGGGAAUGUUGGGUUGGAGUUCUCUACGGGAGAAGUGUAUACAUACCUGAGUGGCGAUGCAGCGCAAGUGGGUUGGGCUCCGUUGGUCUGGAUCAAGAGAGGGAUCCCAAGGCAGAGCUUCCAUGUCUGGCUGGUGGCUCAGAAUAGGCUUCCACCAAGGGAUCGGUUAUUGAGCUGGGGAAUUCAAACCGAUCAUCUUUGCCUGCUUUGCAACAAUCACGGUGCGUCUCGGAACCAUCUGUUUCAGGAGUGUGACUAUAGUUAUGAACUGUGGAGAUUAAUAACAACGAGACUAGGAGUACAGCCAAAGAGAACCUGGGAAGAAAUGACGGCUCAGCUAUUGUCCCUCCCGUCUUCUUCUACUCAUACUAGGGUCACUCUUCUAGCUUGGCAAGCUAUGACCUACUGGAUUUGGACUGAGAGAAACUCUAGACUUCACACCAACAACUUCAAGCCGGUUGACUCAAUCUUCACCAGUUUGGACAGGCAGAUAAGGAACAAGACACAAAGUUUUAGAAAUGCAAAUCCGAGUUCCUCCUCAAAGAUGUUUCAGAUUUGAAUUCGAUUCACCUGAUUCUUUCACGAUCGGCAAGAGACAACUAAACCGGUUCUAGGGUUAGUUAGGUUUCAACUAGGUUCUUUAACUAUGGGUUAGUAUAGUAAAGAGUACUAGACUUUGACCCGCGCGCCCGCGCGGGUGUUUCUUUUCGGUUUGUAUUGUUUGAUAUCUAUUUUUGUUUAUCUUUUUGUUUUAAAUUUGUAUAAACGUGAUCUUGCUAAUAAUGUAGUCUAUGCUGAUUAAAAAAUUAAAAUAAUAAAUAACAUUAGUUAUUUCUUAUUAUAUCCACAUCGUCGAAAUAAAUGUUUGCCCAUCGUAGAAUUUGUUUGUGUUUAUUUGUAUAUAAAACCAAUUAUAAAAAAUAUUAAUAUGUUUUUUAUUUAUUAAUUUGCUUUAGAAAAGAAUUUUUAUUUAUUUUUUCAAUGAAUAAGUUUGCGCGAAAGUACUACAAUUAUUUUUUUGUAUUAUAGAUCAAAUAUAGUUGGUAGAUUAUAUGUAUACGAAAAAAGCUCGACUUUAAUUUUUUUUAAUAUUCUGUAUAAAUAAAUAAUAUUUUUUUUUUAUUUAUGUAAUUUAAUAAUUUAUAGUCGAAGCAUCAGAAUAUAUUAAAAUCAGUUGGUUCAAUAUAUAAUAGCAUAUUUAGAAAUAUAUUUUUUUGAUAGAUAUAUAAAUAAAAAAUUUAAUCGACAUACCCUUUUAAUAAUAUAGAUAACAAAAGCCCGGUUGCACACAAAAAAGAUAACAAAGCCCAAUUAGGUAUUUAACUACUUUACGCAGAAAAAAAAACAGAAACAACCAUAAAAAAACUCACCUAGCGAUCUAAACAAAGGAGUCUAGGGAUCAGAUGUUCCACAGAAUUUCUUCGCCGAAUUCCACAGAAUUUCUUUCAAUCCUGUUCAAAUGGACCAGGAUGCAAUAAUCGUGAAAUCUAUAGAAUCAAGAUGUAAGAACUGGAACCAUAGAAGGAAAAAGUAGACAUUGAAGACAUCAAAAUUAAGACUGUUUGAAGAUCUGUGAUCCUUUCCAAAGAUCUGCGAUGUAAUGGACAGAGUGGUCAGAUAAAAUUGUGAUCGAGACAGAGAUAAGAGAGAAUCCAUAACUGUAAUGAGUAUCAAGCCCACAUGAAAGUCUAAGAAAAAGCUAAGUACUAUAUUUUCUUCUUUUGAAUAUCCGUUUGAGUAUCUAAGCUACGGUUGGUUGAUAUUAUUUUAGUCUGCUUGUCUUAACACUUGAAUAAACUUAUAAAGAUAAUCUUCUUUGAAGAUAAGAGUUGUUUGAAUAGGUCAAUUAAGAUGAUAUAUGUAUUAUCUAUAGCUUAGUGAAGUUUGUUUGGUUGUUUGGCUUAUAUUGCAUUUAUUUUACGUUUCCAAUGACAGAUAUUUAUUUUAUGACAUGGUUUGUUUCUAAAAUUGGUUGUAGAUCACGUGUAUAUGUCUAGAUAAGUCCGAGAAUUUAUUUUUGGUUGAGUACUUUUGUGUUAUUUUUUCACUUUUAGAGCAAGAACUCUUGUUAGACUUCGAUGCUAUGAAUUAUAAAGCUGAUUGAUAAAAGGAAAAUAUUCAACAAAGUUCUUAUUUCUGAUUUAUGUAAACUCUAUACAUGGCGUGCAGGUCAUACAAGUCUGUUUGAUACUUAACGUGCACUUUCAAGAAGACAACAUAGCAUAUCGAACAACACAAGGUUUCUGCGGUAAGGUCUCUUACUGUAUAGACAACUCUUUCUUUACGUCGUCGACACAAUUCUCCCCAAAAGAGCUCAAGCCACUAUGAAGGAAGUCAAUGAGAAAAUAAUUAGUAACUAAAAAGGAGCAAACAUGUAUUUUGGUAUCCAUGAAACUCACUACUCACUAGUUAAUGAACUCUACACCUCUGGCUGCAACUUCAUCUGAGUAGUUGGAAUAAUUGGAGGACUGGUCGGAGCUCAAGUAUUUACGCCAGAAACUCGGAGGUACUGACUGCUUAGUCAAUUGUUGUCUCUUGGUGUUGACCCGCUUCCUAGCAAUCUUCUGCUCCUUUGCAUUAUUUGUUCCCAUCAGCCCUCUUGUGCUUUUCUUCUUGAAAGGAAAGUGUGAACCAGAAGUCUAAGUUUCAAGUUGAAGAAAAAACUAGUUUUGGUUGUUCUUGUUGGGUAAAGUUCUUUUGAUUUAUGUAUGUUUUUGAUUCCUACAUACUUACUUAUGAUUAUAACAUGUGAUUAAUUAAGAGAGAAUAUCUAUGUGAAACAGAGUUACUCAGGA